rnacentral:lncRNA from 1 species
UGGACCAACUGACCAUUUGCAAGAAUUCACCUAAUGUUUUGUGCUUAACGAAUGUAAGAGUUGGUUGAUUUGAAUAUGUGGAUGAUUGAUGAUGAGUGUAAGGGCAAAAAGAGUUGAGAUAGACCUAGAGAAGCUAGAGUGUAAUAAGAGAGUGUGCUAAUUGUGUGUGCUAGUUGUGUUUCUUUUGGCUAUGAGCUCCCAACUUCAAACCUCUCUCCCUAUGAGUUCUAGAAAGUUCACUUGUGGACAAGUAAAAGAACAAGUUUAGGGGAGUUGAUAUCUUGCAUAUUUACAUUGUUUUAUCCAUUCAUCC